GCUAUUGGAGUUCGAUUAAGCCAUGCGAGUCGAGAGUCUUAGGGACUCGGCGUACCGCUCAGUAACACGUGGGUAACCUGCCCUAUGCUGGGGAAUAACCUCGGGAAACUGAGAAUAAUGCCCCAUAGUCCACCAUGCCUGGAACGGUUGGUGGAUCAAAGCUCCGGCGGCAUAGGGUGGGCCUGCGGCGUAUCAGGUCGUAGGGGGUGUAACGUACCCCCUAGCCAUCGACGCGUACGGGUGUUGGGAGACAUAGCCCGGAGAUGGAUUCUGAGACACGAAUCCAGACCCUACGGGGUGCAGCAGGCGCGAAAACUUGGCAAUGCGAGAAAUCGUGACCAGGGAACUCCAAGUGGCUGGGGUAAGACCCAGUCUUUUCUUGACUCUUCAGCGGUCUUGGAAUAAGGGGUGGGUAAGGACGGUGCCAGCCGCCGCGGUAAUACCGGCGCCUCAAGUGGUAGUCGAUUUUAUUGGGCCUAAAACGUCCGUAGCCUGUUUGGUACAUUCGUGGGUAAAUCAACCAGCUCAACUGAUUGAAUUCUGCGAGCACGGCCAGACUUGGGACCGGGAGAGGUGUGGGGUACGCUCAGGGUAGGGGUAAAAUCCUGUCAUCCUGAGCGGACCACCUGUUGCGAAGGCGCCACACUAGAACGGAUCCGACGGUCAGGGACGAAGCCUAGGGGCACGAACCGGAUUAGAUACCCGGGUAGUCCUAGGUGUAAACGCUGUGGACUUGGUGUUGGGGACUCUCCGAGAUUCCUCAGUGCCGAAGCGAAGGUGAUAAGUCCACUGCCUGGGGAGUACGGUCGCAAGGCUGAAACUUAAAGGAAUUGGCGGGGGAGCACCGC
rnacentral:rRNA from 1 species